CCUACGGGAGGCAGCAGCCAUGCCGCGUGGAGGAUGAAGGUCCUCUGGAUUGUAAACUUCUUUUAUAGGGGGCGAAAAAAGGGAAUUCUUUCUCGUCUGACGGUACCCUAUGAAUAAGCACCGGCUAACUCCGUGCCAGCAGCCGCGGUAAU
rnacentral:rRNA from 1 species